GCGCAUCGCUAGGGGUGUGGCGAGCUGUCCUUCCGGGGUGGUUCGCGACUGAGAAAGUCCCUUUGAACCUGAUUGAGGUCAUCCUCGCGCAGGGAAGCAUUGACCAGGAUAG
rnacentral:ncRNA from 1 species